AUUGCCCUAGUAACGGCGAGUGAAGCGGCAACAGCUCAAAUUUGAAAUCUGGCUCUUUCAGAGUCCGAGUUGUAAUUUGCAGAGGGCGCUUUGGCUUUGGCAGCGGUCCAAGUUCCUUGGAACAGGACGUCACAGAGGGUGAGAAUCCCGUACGUGGUCGCUAGCUAUUGCCGUGUAAAGCCCCUUCGACGAGUCGAGUUGUUUGGGAAUGCAGCUCUAAAUGGGAGGUAAAUUUCUUCUAAAGCUAAAUAUUGGCCAGAGACCGAUAGCGCACAAGUAGAGUGAUCGAAAGAUGAAAAGCACUUUGGAAAGAGAGUCAAACAGCACGUGAAAUUGUUGAAAGGGAAGCGCUUGCAGCCAGACUUGCUUGCAGUUGCUCAUCCGGGCUUUUGCCCGGUGCACUCUUCUGUAGGCAGGCCAGCAUCAGUUUGGGCGGUGGGAUAAAGGUCUCUGUCACGUACCUCUCUUCGGGGAGGCCUUAUAGGGGAGACGACAUACCACCAGCCUAGACUGAGGUCCGCGCAUCUGCUAGGAUGCUGGCGUAAUGGCUGUAAGCGGCCCGUCUUGAAACACGGACCAAGGAGUCUAACAUCUAUGCGAGUGUUUGGGUGUCAAGCCCGAGCGCGUAAUGAAAGUGAACGGAGGUGGGAACCCGCAAGGGUGCACCAUCGACCGAUCCUGAAGUUUACGGAAGGAUUUGAGUAAGAGCAUGGCUGUUGGGACCCGAAAGAUGGUGAACUAUGCUUGAAUAGGGUGAAGCCAGAGGAAACUCUGGUGGAGGCUCGCAGCGGUUCUGACGUGCAAAUCGAUCGUCAAAUUUGGGCAUAGGGGCGAAAGACUAAUCGAACUAUCUAGUAGCUGGUUCCUGCGA
rnacentral:rRNA from 1 species